AUGAAAAGCACAGAGCGCUUGUGUUCCAUGAGCAAACUGCGGCACAAACAAUCAUCGGGGCAUCUGCGAGCCAAUAUCAUCGCAAUCCAGCCAAAAGAUUAAGAAUGUGCCUUUCCACUAGUACGGUUGGUCAUCUAGCUGUCUUACCUCAUGGCUGUAUCAGAUGCUGGAUGAAUCCUUCCCAAAAGAUCACAGGGGCUACAGUUUCUUAUGGGACCACAAAGUUUCAGAGAGAAGGUAGAGGAAGAAAUUGGUAGUGCUCAGAGCCAAAGUCCUCUUCUUUCAACUGAGCUGAGUUGUCCCAUUUUGUGGAAAGCAGCAUCUGAAGCAAGUAAGUGGCUCCUCAAUUCUUGAACCAUGGAGAAAAUAGAGAAAAUAGGGGCACUUCCAUUUCCUGCCAGGCUUUAAUUAAGUCUAAAGUUUCCUUUGAGUUACAUGAGAUGAUUAGAUGACAAUU